UGAGAGAAGGAGCAGAAAUCUGGGAAAGAGUAGCAGUCUCGUAUUUCCUGUAGCUGUAAAGAGUGGACAAAGAAGAAUUAAUCUAUUAAAGACCUCCGAAGUGGCAGGCGGUCACGAGGUAACUUUGUUACAGUAUGUGUCACCUGACUGUCUGUAAAUGUAUCCAUUUCUAAAGCUUGUCUUUAUUUUUGUAGUUUUCACGGCAUUUAUUAAAGAGCCCGUUUUGAAGGAA